UACGGAGGGGGCUAGCGUUGUUCGGAAUUACUGGGCGUAAAGCGCACGUAGGCGGCUUUCUAAGUCGGAGGUGAAAUCCUGGAGCUCAACUCCAGAACUGCCUUCGAUACUGGAGAGCUUGAGUCCGGGAGAGGUGAGUGGAACUGCGAGUGUAGAGGUGAAAUUCGUAGAUAUUCGCAAGAACACCAGUGGCGAAGGCGGCUCACUGGCCCGAUACUGACGCUGAGGUGCGAAAGCGUGGGGAGCAAACAGGG
rnacentral:rRNA from 1 species